UUCCCCUUUCCCCACGUACCCACCAUCUAAAUCUGAAUCUUCCCAGCAACUUGUAAGAAAAAGGUGGGAUUCCGAAAGUGGCUGACUAAGAGGUUACACAUAAUACUUAGGACACAUCUUGAGGGAAUAACCUUUACAGAUCACUGCAGAAUUUAUAUUUAGUGAGUUAUAGUGUCAUUGCCCUUAUGCAUGUCAUAUUUUAAGCAAAUCUAACAUCUUAUUUUAUCUUCUUUCAGUGAAUUCUCUUAUCUCUGUUACAGCAGGAACAAAUCUAAGAGCAAUACAUUCUAUCUGUGACUGGAAUAGAUGGACAAAGGCAUCUCUGAACACUGUCUGGGUGCACCUGCUGUUUUCCCAUACUGGAAUAUGGGAAUCAAGACAGGAGAUGUCACCUAUGCAGCAGAUGAACCCAGCUGCACGGGCUAACAUGCAGUGGGAUAAAAAGGAAGAGAUCAUCUGCUCUGGGCAUGUACCCCCUCAUUCCUCCUGAAUAAUUCUAUCCAAAUUGACUCCUGGAGAAUUUAUAAUUUACUAAUGUUGUGCUUAAUUCCGUGUACAAAAGGAAGAACGUGUUUUAACCUUUUUGCUUGGUUAGUUUUUCAUUUUUUCAAGUGUUAUUAAUUGCUGUUUGUUUUUUAUUAUGGUGACUCCAAAGUUUCUUAACUGUUUAUUUUGAACUAAAUCUGCUAAUUUAUUUUAUGUAGUGGAAGCAAAUUUUGCCAACCAUUUUUUAAAUAACCCAGACACCAGAGAAUGAAUAUUUUUUUAUGGUCAAAUUGAUCACCUUGGCAGCCAGCCCAUUCAAAUAUGUUUCUCAAAGUAUGUAAUAUGACUUUGUUUUUACACAGGGUUCAGUGUCCACCAUACACAGUAUAGCAGUGCAGAACUACUUCCAUCUACAGAUCUAAAUGACUCAUACUGGGUUUUCAUUUAUGUCCCUUCUCAAUUCUAUGACCUGUAACAAGACAGGUCUGAUUUCACUUAAACUGCAUGUUACUAAAAAAAGACAUGUACGAUGUUUCUGGGCAACAUGACUGAGAUGGCUUAGACAGCAUCAAGGCUGAGAUUAAGGUUGAUCAGAGGAGGGAAUUUCUGAAAGUGAUGCACUUACAGAGGACAGCAAAGCAGCCUGAGUCCCAGGUAAGUGCUGUGCUGGCAGGCAGACCUCAAAAUCUCCAUUGACUCAUACUGGUCUUAGGAGGUGCAGGUUUUGGUAACCAAGGGGUGGUGAUGGGAAAUAAGGAUGACUGUCAUCUCUGGUGGCAGUAAGCCCCACAUUUGUUGUUGUCCUGACAGAUGUCUAUCCGUUCUAUUCUGUCUAUCUGUUCUUCUGUUUUCUACACCCAGACUUAGCCUGUGGCUCUUGAAGUGGCAGUGUACUAAUUUCUUGAGAUGCUGAUAAGCCUGGAGCUGGCCCUGAGCCUCCCUGGGAAGAACUUAUAUGCCAUCUGUAAAUCAGUUGGCGUUACUAGUCACAGACAGGGGACGUGGUAGAUUACUUCAGCCUUGUUCACUGCUUUGUGGGAGCGAGGCUUUCAUCGAUAUAUUUUCUCUGCUUCUGGACAGCCUUCAUUCCCAUCACUUAUAGGGAACAUAGGAAUGCAUGGAAUCACUCGUGUAUGUUACUACCUAUAGUCUAUUUAUCUUGGAGGUAUUUGGAGCUGUUAUAAAUUGCUAUAAACCUGGCGGUCUGAAGCCAUGAAAAAGAAUGAGCUUACUUUUAAUAACUGACAUUGAAACAGGAGAAAAGCAGUUCAGAAUGCCUGGAGAGGUGUGGAGGCUCCUGCCAAACUGGUGAAUGCUCUGUCUGCAGCUACUUUUGAAAAAAGUGAAUUAACUGGAUAGGCCAGGCCUCUGUUGCAUGUCAGUUAUAUAACAGUUUAUAAAUUUUCUGUUUAAAAAUAAGCUGUGAAGUUUUACUGUUGAAGUGAAUAUAAUGUUGGCAUUCAUAUUUGAAAGCAAACAGGCAAGCGUGCCCAGGGUGGGGGAGUCCCCCUGCCCACUGCAGAUGGCUUCUGGGAAGAGCCAGAAGAAGAUGAAAAGAAGACAAAAAUGAGGAAGAAAAUUACAUUUGAGUAUUGAAGCAUUUCUCUUGUAGGCAGAGGGCUUACUAAGGGCCUUUAAUUCUACUCUGAACAACAUCUGAAACUUUGGAGGGAUAGGUAGGACAUGUGUCCAGCAGUUUAGGAUCUGACCAAUGACUUACAGACGAAAGCAUCAAUAGUCUGAAGCAGAGCAACUGCAGGGCAGUCACUGUAUCAGUGUGUGCCACUGAAUUUGGAUCAAUUCAGCUGAAAUCACCCACGAGCCUAGUAAAAUUAUCUGUACCACAGAGAAUCCUGCCAACCUGCACAAUGAACUAAGUGUGAGUGCAAUGACAACAGGAAGAUAGUAGUUAGCCACCUCAGCUGUGAGGAGAGGACUGGGAAACUGGGGCAGAGAAUUGUAAUCUUGCAUGCUGUCAUUUAGUUCUUCUUUCCCUGAGCUAUUGUAUUAUUGUGUUUUCCUUUUGUUCCCAAUAAACUGUGUUGA